UACGUAGGGGGCAAGCGUUGUCCGGAUUCAUUGGGCGUAAAGAGCGUGUAGGCGGCCAGGUAGGUCGGUUGUGAAAACUGGAGGCUCAACCUUCAGAGGUCGACCGAAACCAUCUGGCUAGAGUCCGGGAGAGGUGAGUGGAAUUCCCAGUGUAGCGGUGAAAUGCGUAGAUAUUGGGAGGAACACCAGUGGCGAAGGCGGCUCACUGGACCGGAACUGACGCUGAUGCGCGAAAGCGUGGGGAGCAAACAGG
rnacentral:rRNA from 1 species